rnacentral:rRNA from 1 species
UACGGGGGGGGUAAGCGUUGUUCGGAAUUACUGGGCGUAAAGGGCUCGUAGGCGGUCAACUAAGUCAGACGUGAAAUCCCUCAGCUUAACUGGGGAACUGCGUCUGAUACUGGAUGGCUUGGAUUCGGGAGAGGGUCGUGGAAUUCCUGGUGUAGAGGUGAAAUUCGUAGAUAUCAGGAGGAACACCGGCGGCGAAGGCGGCGACCUGGACGGAUACUGACGCUCAGACGCGAAAGCGUGGGUAGCAAACAGG